rnacentral:rRNA from 1 species
UGAGGAAUAUUGGUCAAUGGUCGGGAGACUGAACCAGCCAAGCCGCGUGAGGGAUGAAGGUACAGAGUAUCGUAAACCUCUUUUGUCAGGGAACAAAAGGCGCCACGUGUGGCGCCUCGAGUCGAAUACCUGAAGAAAAGCAUCGCUAACUCCGUGCCAGCAGCGCGUAAUACGGAGGAUGCGAGCGUUAUCCGGAUUUAUUGGGUUUAAAGGGUGCGUAGGCGGCGAGUUAAGUCAGCGGUAAAAGCCCGGGGCUCAACCCCGGCCCGCCGUUGAAACUGGCUUGCUUGAGUUGGAGAGAAGUAGGCGGAAUGCGCGGUGUAGCGGUGAAAUGCUUAGAUAUCGCGCAGAACUCCGAUUGCGAAGGCAGCCUACCGGCUCCACACUGACGCUGAGGCACGAAAGCGUGGGUAUCGAACAGGAUUAGAUACC